UCUAAGGUCGUAGGAGGUUAUACAGGCAAAUCCGUAUAACAAUACUCCGAGAACUGAAAGGCUUUUUGAAGUCUUCGGAUGGAUAGAAGAACCCCUGAUGCCGUCGAGCCAAGAAAAGUUUCUAAGUUUAGCUAAUGUUGCCCGUACCGUAAACCGACACAGGUGGGUGGGAUGAGUAUUCUAAGGCGCGUGGAAGAACUCUCUUUAAGGAACUCUGCAAAAUAGCACCGUAUCUUCGGUAUAAGGUGUGGUUAGCUUUGUAUUAGGAUUUACUCCGAAAGCAAGGAAACUUACAACAAAGAGUCCCUCCCGACUGUUUACCAAAAACACAGCACUCUGCUAACUCGUAAGAGGAUGUAUAGGGUGUGACGCCUGCCCGGUGCUCGAAGGUUAAUUGAUGGGGUUAGCAUUAGCGAAGCUCUUGAUCGAAGCCCGAGUAAACGGCGGCCGUAACUAUAACGGUCCUAAGGUAGCGAAAUUCCUUGUCGGUUAAAUACCGACCUGCAUGAAUGGCGUAACGAGAUGGGAGCUGUCUCAAAGAGGGAUCCAGUGAAAUUGUAGUGGAGGUGAAAAUUCCUCCUACCCGCGGCAAGACGGAAAGACCCCGUGGACCUUUACUACAGCUUGACACUGCUACUUGGAUAAGAAUGUGCAGGAUAGGUGGGAGGCUUUGAGUAUAUGACGCCAGUUGUAUAUGAGCCAUUGUUGAGAUACCACUCUUUCUUAUUUGGGUAGCUAACCAGCUUGAGUUAUCCUCAAGUGGGACAAUGUCUGGUGGGUAGUUUGACUGGGGCGGUCGCCUCCCAAAUAAUAACGGAGGCUUACAAAGGUUGGCUCAGAACGGUUGGAAAUCGUUCGUAGAGUAUAAAGGUAUAAGCCAGCUUAACUGCAAGACAUACAAGUCAAGCAGAGACGAAAGUCGGUCUUAGUGAUCCGGUGGUUCUGUGUGGAAGGGCCAUCGCUCAAAGGAUAAAAGGUACCCCGGGGAUAACAGGCUGAUCUCCCCCAAGAGCUCACAUCGACGGGGAGGUUUGGCACCUCGAUGUCGGCUCAUCGCAUCCUGGGGCUGGAGCAGGUCCCAAGGGUAUGGCUGUUCGCCAUUUAAAGCGGUACGCGAGCUGGGUUCAGAACGUCGUGAGACAGUUCGGUCCCUAUCUGCCGUGGGCGUAAGAAGAUUGAAGAGAUUUGACCCUAGUACGAGAGGACCGGGUUGAACAAACCACUGGUGUAGCUGUUGUUCUGCCAAGAGCAUCGCAGCGUAGCUAAGUUUGGAAAGGAUAAACGCUGAAAGCAUCUAAGCGUGAAGCCAACUCUAAGAUGAAUCUUCUCUAAGCUCUCUAGAAGACUACUAGUUUGAUAGGCUGGGUGUGUAAUGGAUGAAAGUCCUUUAGCUGACCAGUACUAAUAGAGCGUUUGGCUUAUCUUUAAUAAAGCAU
rnacentral:rRNA from 1 species